GGAGGGGGCCAGCGUUAUUCGGAAUUAUUGGGCGUAAAGGGCGCGUAGGCGGCUUGGUAAGUUGAAGGUGAAAUCCCUCGGCCCAACCGAGGAAUUGCCUUCGAAACUGCCUCGCUCGAGGCCGGGAGAGGGUAGCGGAAUUCCCAGUGUAGCGGUGAAAUGCGUAGAUAUUGGGAGGAACACCAGUGGCGAAGGCGGCUACCUGGACCGGUUCUGACGCUGAGGCGCGAAAGCGUGGGGAGCAAACAGGAUUAGAUACCCUGGUAGUCCACGCUGUAAACGAUGGGCACUCGGUGCUGCGGGUAUCGACCCCCCUGCGGUGCCUUAGCUAACGCGUUAAGUGCCCCGCCUGGGGAGUACGGUCGCAAGGCUG
rnacentral:rRNA from 1 species